rnacentral:misc_RNA from 1 species
AUAAAGCUCAUCCUUUUCUGUGGUCGAAAAGAAGCAGUGCUUCAGUGAAACAAUACUAGGAUGAUCAAGAAGUCGCAUAGUCUGCAAUUCCCGAUUCUUGUAUCUCUUGUCCUGCAAGACCUUUUUUAUUGCCACGGUCUCUCCUGUUUCAAGGCAUUUGGCCUGCAAUUUAGCUGGAACACAAUUCCAAAGGAACCCUGU